rnacentral:tRNA from 1 species
GGCGAGGUAGCUCAGCUGGUUAGAGCGUCGGAUUCAUAACUCGGAGGUCGGGGGAUCGUGCCCCCCUCUCGCUACAA